UGCUAGUUGUACGAGUUCAGACUCGUAGCGAAUAGCUCAGUAACACGUGGCCAAACUACCCUUCGGAGCGCGAUAACCUCGGGAAACUGAGGCUAAUAGCGCAUCCCACACUCAGCCUGGAAUGGCGAGUGUGGCAAACGCUCCGGCGCCGAAGGAUGUGGCUGCGGCCGAUUAGGUAGACGGUGGGGUAACGGCCCACCGUGCCGAUAAUCGGUACGGGUCAUGAGAGUGAGAACCCGGAGACGGAAUCUGAGACAAGAUUCCGGGCCCUACGGGGCGCAGCAGGCGCGAAACCUUUACACUGCACGCCAGUGCGAUAAGGGGAUCCCAAGUGCACAGGCAUAGAGCCUGUGCUUUUGUCCACCGUAGGGAGGUGGACGAAUAAGGGCUGGGCAAGACCGGUGCCAGCCGCCGCGGUAAUACCGGCAGCCCGAGUGAUGGCCGAUCUUAUUGGGCCUAAAGCGUCCGUAGCUGGCCGCGCAAGUCCAUCGGGAAAUCUCCCCGCUCAACGGGGAGCCGCCCGGUGGAAACUGCGUGGCUUGGGACCGGAAGGCGCGACGGGUACGUCCGGGGUAGGAGUGAAAUCCCGUAAUCCUAGACGGACCGCCGAUGGCGAAAGCACGUCGCGAGAACGGAUCCGACAGUGAGGGACGAAAGCCAGGGUCUCGAACCGGAUUAGAUACCCGGGUAGUCCUGGCCGUAACGAUGCCUGUUAGGUGUGGCUCCCACUACGAGUGGGUGCUGUGCCGUA
rnacentral:rRNA from 1 species